rnacentral:rRNA from 1 species
GAUGAACGCUGGCGGCGUGCCUAAACCAUAAAAAUCGCAAGACCGGACGAGAAGCUUGCUUCUCUGCUGUUAGCGGCGGACGGGUGAGUAACACGUGGAUAACCUACCUAUAAGACUGGGAUAACUUCGGGAAACCGGAGCUAAUACCGGAUAAUAUUUUGAACCGCAUGGUUCAAAAGUGAAAGACGGUCUUGCUGUCACUUAUAGAUGGAUCCGCGCUGCAUUAGCUAGUUGGUAAGGUAACGGCUAACCAAGGCAACGAUGCAUAGCCGACCUGAGAGGGGGAGAGGCCACACUGGAACUGAGACACGGUCCAGACUCCUACGGGAGGCAGCAGUAGGGAAUCUUCCGCAAUGGGCGAAAGCCUGACGGAGCAACGCCGCGUGAGUGAUGUAGGUCUUCGGAUCGUAAAAGUCUUUUAUUAGGGAAGAACAUAUGUGGAAUUUACGUGGCACAUCUUGACGGGACCUAAUCAUAAAGCGACUUCUCCCUACGUC